CCGGGUUCACAUGAGUCACCUGGCUUUAAGAGCAUAUUGAGUUCUGUUGUGUUUUAAAUCUGGAUGAAAAUGACAUUCUUUGCCAUCUUGUCCAGGCAUUCUUCUUUUUACUGGAUUCUGAAGAACAGCAGCUCCCAAGUAGGACACAAUAGCCAUUCGACAGACAGUGCAUUAGUGUAAUUUAUGUAUAUGUAAAAACGUAUAAUAGACAUUUAUUUCUAAAAAGUAACGGUAAUAAUGGAGGAAGUCAGCAAUUUGCCAUUCAUAAUAAA